CCAACAUUCUGACUACUUAUAACUUAUAUUUCACUGUAAGAAUCCAUGAGUAAUCAAAACAUAUUACUCUCUACCAUUUCACCCACAUAUCCCAUAUUAGUGAUUUUUGGAUUUAACUUAUCAAUAGAAUAUCAGUCGGUUUUUGUAUCCAGGGACUUGUUUAAAAUGUGACUGAUAAAAAUGCCAAAAAAAAUUAAUUAACAUUUAUGAACUUGGGAAACAAAGUAAAUGAGUGGGAGCUUAAUAGUUCCUACAGAGCCCUGGUAAGUCUCUGUGGACAAGGUGAAAAACCCAGAGCCCACAAUUACAUACUUAUGAUCAAUAAAUUUAAGUGUACUGUAAGACACCUGAUGAAUCAUGCCCUUGGAAUAUAAAAGCUUCCUGUUGAUAUUUUUUCCCUUCAGCUCCAAAAAUUAAAGUUUCUGUAUCUCAGUUUCUGAAAUGUGGUCUUCUCCGAAACACAUUUUCCCAAAAAGAGAAUUAAGGCAGGCAAGCAUUUCAGGUAUUCUUCUUCAAUAAUCUCUCACAAAAAACUACAAUUUUUCUGUCAUCGACUCACUAUAAAGCAACCCCAGACUUAUUGUGGCCAGUAAGCCUCAAGGAUAAGUACAUAUUAAAUUGUGAAAAAUGAAACGGAAAUGAAAAAGGAAAAAUACCCAUCCAAGACAUAUCAGAAGGCCCUGGCCAUCAUACCAGGGCUAGUGUGUGACAGGCUGUGGAUUUCAGGGAGUGUGCUGGUAAAUACUCUCUGUAUAGAGAUUAUAUAAAGUAUAGCUGGAAGCAGGACAAUGAGCAGGAAGCAGUGUGGGGAUUUUUUUACAUAAGAAUUGAUCUAAAAAAGAGAAAUCUAAAACAUUUUGAUUUAUUUUCUAUUUCCUUGAAAAGCUGGAUUCUGACUCUCUGGCUUGUUACCUACAUCUUGCUACAAUGCACAGCAUUUUAAUUAUGUGGUCCCUUUGCCAGCACUACAACUCUGACAUACUUCAAAAUGUUUUGUAUCUUUGAAAUGCUGGUGUUCAGCAUCUUCAUAUCCACUAGAUGUCACUCAACAGUCAUCAUUUCCAGCACUGACAUACAAACAAACAGAUAGGAAAAUAGGGCAACAAAUGGGCUUUUCAUUCAGACUCAAAAUCAUGUUCUUUCAGAAAUUUGGUAGUCACUGUUUAAUGUGACCACAGUUGUGAUGUCUGAAAUGCUGUUAUCAUCACUUCAAACACUAUAACUUUAAGCUGAUCCCUUUAGAAUGUCUGGGUGCCACCUGGUAAUUACAUAUUCCUUUAAUAAAUAUAGUUCUUUCAAAGGAAAAAAAACAAAAGACAAAAGAUAAUUUGGAGGGUGACGGACUUGCUGUUAAUGGAUAAUUGUGCUUCUGGACCAUGACCACAGUGUUCAACAUUUUGAUCUGCAUGAUGCCUAACGAAAUUUAUCUUCAGUGAUAUUUUAUAGCUUAUAUGUUCAUGCCCUACAGGGUUUUGCUGUUAGGAGUUGUUUUGAAUCCAUACGCCCCCAAAACCACCCAGGAUGGGAGGAGUCUCUCUUACCCUGCUUGCAAUGGUGUGUUUCUCCCUGGACAUUCUCCAGCUCCCAAUUCCAGGCAUUUGUUCUUGUAUGCUUUCAGAACUGUGAUCACAACACAAUGCAGCUGGCUUUUCUUGAGAAACUAAACAAAGAAAAUUUUAUCCAGCCCUCGAAUGAUUUCCUUGUCUUUUUCCAUACUCCCUCAAGCUUCCAAACAGCCUUUCCAAAAUAUGGGAACUAAAACCAUUCCCAGUAUUGUAAUACCAAAACCAUUUCAUAUGGGGAGAAAACAGCUCCACAAACCUGAUUACUACUGGUUUAUAUAAUUUUCUUUCAGAAAUAGGUGUUGUGAUAUAUUUCAGUCUCACAUUGUUUCAGGGCUACCUUGCUGUCCCACCUUCAUUAGAUUUGUAUUUUCCCUGAUGUUGCUGACAUCCCUCACAAACUCAUGUGUUCAGUAUGAAAGGAAAGCUGAUGUCUUUACCAACAAUUGGAUGGGUGAAGGGAUGGGUGUCAAUGUCUUUGAAAUGGAUCUUAAUGUCUCUACUGACUUCAAGCAGCAGGUUUCUUGCAGAGCCCAGACAGCUCGGCUCCUGAAACAGACAAGGGUCUGCACAAGCCUGACCUUCUGAACUUUGGGGUGAAACGCACGUGUCAAGAGGAGCUGGAGGUGCCUCACCCAGUUUCAGUGACCAGGUCCCUUCAGCACUGGCCAGCACCAGGUGAUUGAUUGGGUACCCGAGACUGUCCAGGGGACAGACGAGAGGCGGACCAGGGGGUCCACAAAGAGUCCACAGGAAAGGACCACUGGACAUGGAUGCCCAGAGGAGGCAGUAAGGGAAAGUCGAGAAGGUUCUUGGCAAAUCUCACCGGAAGAAGUGCAGAGAGCCCCAGGAGCAAAGAGAAGAGGGUAGCCACCAGGACAGCGACUGGGAAAAAAUCAACGUGUCAUAGGUUAGCAAGCUAAGUCUCGGAAGUGAUGU